CGGCGGGGGGGAGCCCGCUCGGGGAGCCGCGGGGCUAAAAUUAGCCAAGUGCGGAGAGUUUAGGGGAAACAACAAUGAAAAAGUGCAUGGAGGGCAGCGGGUUCCCGGUGUCCGGGGCGGUUCGGGAGCGCCUGGAACGGGAUUUCUUCAGCGCGGACAGGAGCGCCCUGCCAGGGCCGGUGCCGCCGGCCGCUGCCGAGGGGAGACGGAUCACACGGAGGCUGGAAAAUCAGAUCCCAGCCCCGCGCAGGAUAUCCAUAGAAACGGAGAUUAAAAGGAUGAAAUAACUUAUUUUGUUCUAAACAAUAAUGUUGCUAUAAAUACGAACAUUUUCCUUGUUCCCUUCCUGAAAAGCGCAGAACAUUUUAGCAGGCUCAUCUCCUAACAUAAUAAAUCGGUGUACACACACAGCCUGCAGAUACCUUGCCCCCCUCGAAAGCAUUCCCUGUUUUUGGUGGGAAAUGGGCAAACCCAGGCUCUGUACCUGUCCCCUCUGGAAUCAAUAAGCUGCACGGUAUUUUUCCAAAUACAGCUACUUUCGCUGUUUUGCACUUCAUCUGUAAAAGGAAAAUAUCUCUUCCCCCCCCAAGUGAGCGAUUGUAGAUUUUUUCUCAAAUUGUAUUUGAUCACCGAGUGAAUUUAGUGCUCGCUCAAGUCCGUGGGCUGACUGCUUGGAAAUGGCUCUGCCUGUCUUUGGAGAAGUUACGGCAGAGACAGCGGCAGAGCAAUUGCCACAGAUUAUUUCCCAAUCUGCUGCCGGCCUCCUUUGGAAGAGCACCAUCAUUUCAGCCUCCAUUUCCACUUUUUGCUGAGGCUGCUGCUUACAAAGAUACUAAUUGCGAUGGCGGGUUUUAUGUUAAUGGGUUCCACGUAAUGAUCAGCCCGACGACUACAGACCUUCAGAUUGUUGGUUGGCUGCGCUGGGAAUAAAACUAAUGGCAUUUGGUUAUGAAAAUGUCAGAUCUCUACAUGGUGAUCUAAACUGGGGGCUCAAUGAGACCAAAAUCCAAGAGCCUCCACGCGACUGCCGUGGGGCUGGACCCAGGGAUGCCCUUGGAUAAGGGAACUCCUUCUCCCCCAGCAGUGCUGUGCCUUGGGGGAGGGCAGCUCCUUGCUGGGAUGAUGCUGGAGAGGAUUGGGGCGCCUGGCUGGGGUCCCCCCUGCUCCGGGGAGAGGGUGUGGGGUGCUGGGAGCGACAGCCGGGGACGGAGCAGGGAUGGAGCUGUGUGAGCCUCCGAAUUCUGACUAACGCCGUAACCGGUUUGGUAGCUCUAAAAUAGGAUUUUAAUCCUGGGAAGCAUCAUUUCACAUUCCAGUGAUCUAAUCAAAAUCCUUUCCUCUAAUCUCUCCAUGGUCCCCCCUUUCUAGAUGAAAGAGGCUGGAGUUCCUGUCUUCACCCUUUCUCCGCUGCCUCCCUGUUCUACCAGUCUGUUCUGUGUCCAGGCAACUGCAAAAAGACAUUUCAAAGGCUCCUGCCGUGCCAUGUAGAUGUUUUCUCUUGUUAGUUUGGACUGCAGGAUCAAGUCCCUCGUUUGCCAUUUUGUGUGGCAGCAAGCCCAAGGAAAUCUUGCUUGACAGCUCUGUUUUCUCAAAGUGCUGCAUUUCUUCGGGCUGGAUUCUGUAAAGAUCCUGCAGGCUACAGAGCUCCUUGGAGCAAGCGAUAAUGUGCUUUGUGUUCCUGCUGAAAUGUACCUGUGUACGAUGGGAGAGGGAGCUUGGAAAACUGGCUGCACCCUGGCAAGAAGAUGGUUGGAAUAAAGUUUUCUUGUGUUAUAAUGUU